CCUUGAACGCUGGCGGCAGGCCUAACACAUGCAAGUCGAACGGUAGCACAGAGGAGCUUGCUCCUUGGGUGACGAGUGGCGGACGGGUGAGUAAUGUCUGGAAAACUGCCUGAUGGAGGGGGAUAACUACUGGAAACGGUAGCUAAUACCGCAUAACGUCGCAAGACCAAAGAGGGGGACCUUCGGCCCUCUUGCCAUCAGAUGUGCCCAGAUGGGAUUAGCUAGUAGGUGGGGUAAUGGCUCACCUAGGCGACGAUCCCUAGCUGGUCUGAGAGGAUGACCAGCCACACUGGAACUGAGACACGUCCAGACUCCUACGGGAGGCAGCAGUGGGGGAAUAUUGCACAAUGGGCACAAGCCUGAUGCAGCCAUGCCGCGUGUAUGAAGAAGCCUUCGGUUAGGAAAGUCUUUCAGGCGGGAGGAAGCUCUGUGUUUAAUAACCACAGCGAUGACGUUCCCCAAAUAACAACACUGUUAAACUUCGUGCCAACAGCCGGGGUGAUACGGGGGGGGCACGCGUUAAUCGGAAUUACUGGGCUAAAAGCCCACCCGGCGGUUUUUAUAAGUGGGUUGGAAAAUCCCGGGCCCAACCUGGGAACCUGUUUUCAAAAAUUGCCGGGUUUGAUAUUUGCAGGGGGGGGGAAAAAUACCUGGUGGGGCGGGGAAAAAACCCGAAAAAUUUUGGGGGAAAAACCCGGGGGGGGAAAGGGGCCCCCUUUGGGAAAAAAAAUUUGCCUUUAAGUUUCGAAAACGUGAGGGGGGCCCCACCCGGGUUUAACACCCCCCCUUGGGAGCCCCCCCUUUUAAAAAAAAAAAGGCCCCGUUGGGGGGGGGGGUACCCCCUUUAAGGGGGGGUUUUUUCCGGGGGAACCCCCCUUUAAAACCCCCC
rnacentral:rRNA from 1 species